GAUGAACGCUGGCGGCGUGCCUAAUACAUGCAAGUCGAGCGAACAGACGAGGAGCUUGCUCCUCUGACGUUAGCGGCGGACGGGUGAGUAACACGUGGAUAACCUACCUAUAAGACUGGGAUAACUUCGGGAAACCGGAGCUAAUACCGGAUAAUAUAGUGAACCGCAUGGUUCAAUAGUGAAAGACGGUUUUGCUGUGACUUAUAGAUGGAUCCGCGCCGCAUUAGCUAGUUGGUAAGGUAACGGCUUACCAGGGCGACGAUGCGUAGCCGACCUGAGAGGGUGAUCGGCCACACUGGAACUGAGACACGGUCCAGACUCCUACGGGAGGCAGCAGUAGGGAAUCUUCCGCAAUGGGCGAAAGCCUGACGCAGCAACGCCGCGUGAGUGAUGAAGGUCUUCGGAUCGUAAAACUCUGUUAUUAGGGAAGAAGAAAUGUGUAAGUAACUAUGCACGUCUUGACGGUACCUACACAGAAAGCAACGGCUAACUACGUG
rnacentral:rRNA from 1 species